rnacentral:rRNA from 1 species
UACGGAGGGGGCUAGCGUUGUUCGGAAUUACUGGGCGUAAAGCGCGCGCAGGCGGCCCGCGAGGUGUCACGUGAAAGCCCCGGGCUCAACCCGGGAGGGUCGUGGCAAACCGGCGGGCUUGAGGCCGGUAGAGGUGGGUGGAACUCCUGGUGGAGUGGUGAAAUGCGUAGAGAUCAGGAAGAACACCUGUGGCGAAAGCGGCGCACUGGACCAUAACUGACGCUGAUGCGCGAAAGCUAGGGGAGCAAACAGG